rnacentral:rRNA from 1 species
GGGCGAGCCUGAUCCAGCCAUGCCGCGUGGUGUGAAGAAGGUCUUCGGAUUGUAAAGCACUUUAAGUUGGGAGGAAGGGCAGUAAGUUAAUACCUUGCUGUUUUGACGUUACCGACAGAAUAAGCACCGGCUAACUUCGUGCCAGCAGCCGCGGUAAUACGAA